CACCAACUCAAAUUAUUGCUGCAAUUCGUAAUUUAUUGUCUAUCAAGGAAGACGAGAAAUAAUUACAAUCUUAAUUUUAAGGUACCUAUUGUAAUUCAGGCAUCUAUUGUAAUUUAUAGAACCACCAAAUUAUGGUUUUAAGUUUUGAUUUUUAAAAAUGGUAUUUGAUUUAAUUUCUAUUAAUGUACUAAUCAAGUGUAGUUACUUUUUGGCAUAUACAUGCAAAAAUUAGUUAAAAGAAAUACUUUAUUCACUGCUUGUGUUACUUAUUAAGGUUUGACACUGAAUGAGGAUCAUAGUAUAGUUUUUCAUGCAUAAAUGUAAAUUUUAUAUCAAAGGCAUAGUUUAUCAAAUAAUUAGGUCAAAUAUUUAAAUUAUGGGCUACCCGAUGAUUUUCAUGCAUUCACACUACAGCAGAAAAAAACACAUUUCUCAAACUCAAACGAUGUGUUCAAAAUAACAGCCUAACAAAUUGAAAUACCCAAAUAAAAUGAUGUCGAUUUAAAUAGAUUGUUGAUUGUUGUCUGUAAUUGAAAUGAUUCAUUAA
rnacentral:lncRNA from 1 species